rnacentral:rRNA from 1 species
CCUACGGGCGGCUGCAGUGGGGAAUAUUGCACAAUGGGGGAAACCCUGAUGCAGCGACGCCGCGUGAGUGAAGAAGUAUUUCGGUAUGUAAAGCUCUGUCAGCAGGGAAGAAAAUGACGGUACCUGACCAAGAAGCCCCGGCUAACUACGUGCCAGCAGCCGCGGUAAUACGUAGGGGGCAAGCGUUAUCCGGAUUUACUGGGUGUAAAGGGAGCGUAGACGGCAGGGCAAGUCUGGAGUGAAAGGCGGGGGCUCAACCCCCGGACUGCUCUGGAAACUGCCAGGCUGGAGUGCAGGAGAGGUAAGUGGAAUUCCUAGUGUAGCGGUGAAAUGCGUAGAUAUUAGGAGGAACACCAGUGGCGAAGGCAGCUUACUAAACUGCCACUGACAUUGAUGCUCGAAAGUGUGGGUAUCAAACAGGAUUAGAUACCCGAGUAGUC